AGAGUUUGAUCAUGGCUCAGGAUGAACGCUGGCGGCGUGCCUAACACAUGCAAGUCGAGCGUGAAGCUUGAAAACAAACCUUCGGGUGAGUUUUUAAGUGGAAAGCGGCGGACGUGUGAGUGACGCGUGGGCAACCUACCUCAUACUAAGGGAUAGCCACUGGAAACGGUGAUUAAUACCUUAUAAGACUACAAUAACACAUGUUAUAGUAGUAAAAGAUUUAUCGGUAUGAGAUGGGCCCGCGUCUGAUUAGCUAGUUGGUAAGGUAAUGGCUUACCAAGGCUUCGAUCAGUAGCCGACCUGAGAGGGUAAUCGGCCACACUGGAACUGAGACACGGUCCAGACUCCUACGGGAGGCAGCAGUGGGGAAUAUUGCACAAUGGGCGAAAGCCUGAUGCAGCAACGCCGCGUGAGUGAUGAAGGCUUUCGAGUCGUAAAGCUCUGUCCUAAGGGAAGAAUUGAUGACGGUACCUUAGGAGGAAGCCCCGGCUAACUACGUGCCAGCAGCCGCGGUAAUACGUAGGGGGCAAGCGUUAUCCGGAAUUAUUGGGCGUAAAGAGUGCGUAGGCGGCCAAAUAAGUUAGAGGUGAAAGGCUAUGGCUUAACCAUAGUAAGCCUUUAAAACUGUUUGGAUUGAGUGCAGGAGAGGAAAGUGGAAUUCCUAGUGNAGCGGUGAAAUGCGUAGAUAUUAGGAGGAACACCAGUGGCGAAGNNGACUUUCUGGACCGUAACUGACGCUGAGGCACGAAAGCGUGGGGAGCGAACAGGAUUANAUACCCUGGNAGUCCACGCCGUANNGAUGANACUAGNNGUCGGGGGANACCUCGGUGCCGNA
rnacentral:rRNA from 1 species